rnacentral:rRNA from 1 species
GAACGCUGGCGGAAUGCUUUACACAUGCAAGUCGAACGGCAGCACGGACGUUCGGUCUGGUGGCGAGUGGCGAACGGGUGAGUAAUAUAUCGGGAACGUGCCCAGUCGUGGGGGAUAACGUAGCGAAAGUUACGCUAAUACCGCAUACGAUCUACGGAUGAAAGCGGGGGAUCGCAAGACCUCGCGCGAUUGGAGCGGCCGAUAUCAGAUUAGGUAGUUGGUGAGGUAAAGGCUCACCAAGCCGACGAUCUGUAGCUGGUCUGAGAGGACGACCAGCCACACUGGGACUGAGACACGGCCCAGACUCCUACGGGAGGCAGCAGUGGGGAAUUUUGGACAAUGGGCGCAAGCCUGAUCCAGCAAUGCCGCGUGCAGGAUGAAGGCCUUCGGGUUGUAAACUGCUUUGUACGGAACGAAACGGUGAGCUCUAAUACAGUUUGCUAAUGACGGUACCGUAAGAAUAAGCACCGGCUAACUACGUG